GGGCUUUCCAAUGCUUAACUGGAUUUUGAUAAAUAAUGUACAUUUCUUUCUAUUUUUUUUAUUGGUAAGUCCACAUGUAUCCUUAUUGUGAUUAAUUGUAAAUAAGUACAUGUACUUGUUAAGUGUGCUUCCUUUAUUACCAGGGCAACUCUUCUCUUUUUAUUACUGUACACACAUUUUAGUCAAAAUUUUAUAUUUACAUUUAAACAACUGCAUGUGCGCCUCCAAAAUACCUGAUGACCUUUAGGUAUUUUAUUUAAAUAUUUUAUUAUAUCAUGAAUAAACUUUUUAAAAAAUUGUUUUAUCAUUGAGCAGAGUAUUUUAAAGAUACAUGUAUUCAACACAAUUUAGUCCAGUUUUUAAUACCUCACACAAACUUAUGUGAUAUCACGUUUAAAUACAUGUAGCUGGCAAUUAUAGGUUUACUUGUUUAGUUUUUUACAAGUUUCUAAAAAAAAAAUUAUGAAGAUUAAUAUUAAAAUUUGUGAACUUUUUUUCACAAAAGUUUCUUUUAGUUGCUGUAAUGACAUUUUUUAUUGGGUCAGUGCUUUAAUUAUUUUAUAAAAUCAAUAAGAAGUCACCAAGAGUUGGAAAUUGCUAUAUAUUUUUCAACUACCGGUAGCUGUUUUAAUUUAUUCAAGAUAUUCAAUUUCAACACAAACCGUCCAUUUGUUUUGUUUUUGUCCUGUUUUAUCAUUUUAACUCUGAGCACAAAAUGAAUUGUAUCUAUAAAUUAUGAAUUAGUUCUUUUAUGUGUAUACAUAUUUAGUUUAUUGACAAAAUAUUUACAAGCUAAAUGUUAUUACAUGAACAAUGUAUUCUGAUCUUCAUGAUUCACAUACUAUGUAUGUCUGAAAUGUGCAUUUGAUAGAAAUUAUAUCUGAAGACUGCAUGCAGUGAAAAUGUAAACAUACUCUUGAUAAUUUUGCUGGAUAUUUUCUUUAUUGAUCUUUACUACAAAUUUAAAUACACUGGUAAAAUUUUAGGAAAGAGUGGAUUCUGAACAUCUUUUUUUAAUAAGAUAAUUUUCAUCAUAUGAAGAGUAAGUGAAUAUUAAUUGAUACCUUUGUUUUCAUUUUGAGGUUGUUUUUGUUUUCAAUAUUACUGCAAGACAUUGUCCUUAGUUUGAGAGAUUUUAAUCACUUGCCUUCAAUAAAUAGUCAUGAAAAUAUGU
rnacentral:sRNA from 1 species